ACUCCUACGGGAGGCAGCAGUGGGGAAUAUUGCACAAUGGGCGCAAGCCUGAUGCAGCCAUGCCGCGUGUAUGAAGAAGGCCUUCGGGUUGUAAAGUACUUUCAGCAGUGAGGAAGGCGGGUACGGUUAAUAGCGUGCUCGUUUGACGUUAGCUGCAGAAGAAGCACCGGCUAACUCCGUGCCAGCAGCCGCGGUAAUACGGAGGGUGCGAGCGUUAAUCGGAAUUACUGGGCGUAAAGCGCAUGCAGGUGGUUUGUUAAGUCAGAUGUGAAAGCCCGGGGCUCAACCUCGGAAUUGCAUUUGAAACUGGCAGACUAGAGUACUGUAGAGGGGGGUAGAAUUUCAGGUGUAGCGGUGAAAUGCGUAGAGAUCUGAAGGAAUACCGGUGGCGAAGGCGGCCCCCUGGACAGAUACUGACACUCAGAUGCGAAAGCGUGGGGAGCAAACAGGAUUAGAUA
rnacentral:rRNA from 1 species